CCUACGGGGGGCUGCAGUGGGGAAUAUUGGACAAUGGGCGAAAGCCUGAUCCAGCCAUGCCGCGUGUGUGAAGAAGGCCUUCGGGUUGUAAAGCACUUUCAGUGGGGAAGAAAGCCUUGGGGCUAAUACCCUCGAGGAAGGACAUCACCCACAGAAGAAGCACCGGCUAACUCCGUGCCAGCAGCCGCGGUAAUACGGAGGGUGCGAGCGUUAAUCGGAAUUACUGGGCGUAAAGCGCGCGUAGGCGGUCUGAUAAGCCGGUUGUAAAAGCCCCGGGCUCAACCUGGGAACGGCAUCCGGAACUGUCAGGCUAGAGUGCAGGAGAGGAAGGUAGAAUUCCCGGUGUAGCGGUGAAAUGCGUAGAGAUCGGGAGGAAUACCAGUGGCGAAGGCGGCCUUCUGGACUGACACUGACGCUGAGGUGCGAAAGCGUGGGUAGCAAACAGGAUUAGAUACCCUAGUAGUC
rnacentral:rRNA from 1 species